GAUGAAGAACGUAGCAAAAUGCGAUAAGUAAUGUGAAUUGCAGAAUUCAGUGAAUCAUCGAAUCUUUGAACGCACAUUGCGCCCGCCAGUAUUCUGGCGGGCAUGCCUGUUCGAGCGUCAUUUCAACCCUCAAGCACAGCUUGGUGUUGGGACUCGCGUUAAUUCGCGUUCCUCAAAUUGAUUGGCGGUCACGUCGAGCUUCCAUAGCGUAGUAGUAAAACCCUCGUUACUGGUAAUCGUCGUGGCCACGCCGUUAAACCCCAACUUCUGAAUGUUGACCUCGGAUCAGGUAGGAAUACCCGCUGAACUUAAGCAUAUCAAUAAGCGGAGGA
rnacentral:misc_RNA from 1 species